CCUACGGGUGGCUGCAGUGGGGAAUAUUGGACAAUGGGCGAAAGCCUGAUCCAGCCAUGCCGCGUGUGUGAAGAAGGCCUUCGGGUUGUAAAGCACUUUCAGUGGGGAAGAAAGCCUUGGGGCUAAUGCCCUCGAGGAAGGACAUCACCCACAGAAGAAGCACCGGCUAACUCCGUGCCAGCAGCCGCGGUAAUACGGAGGGUGCGAGCGUUAAUCGGAAUUACUGGGCGUAAAGCGCGCGUAGGCGGUCUGAUAAGCCGGUUGUGAAAGCCCCGGGCUCAACCUGGGAACGGCAUCCGGAACUGUCAGGCUAGAGUGCAGGAGAGGAAGGUAGAAUUCCCGGUGUAGCGGUGAAAUGCGUAGAGAUCGGGAGGAAUACCAGUGGCGAAGGCGGCCUUCUGGACUGACACUGACGCUGAGGUGCGAAAGCGUGGGUAGCAAACAGGAUUAGAUACCCUAGUAGUC
rnacentral:rRNA from 1 species